AUUGAACGCUGGCGGAAUGCUUUACACAUGCAAGUCAAACGGCAGCACGGGACUCAGGCAACUGACCCCUGGUGGCGAGUGGCGAACGGGUGAGUAACAUAUCGAAACGUACCCAGUCGGGGGGGAUAACUCUCCAAAAGGAGAGCUAAUACCGCAUACUUCCUGAGGGAAAAAGCGGGGGACCUGAGGGUACCUGAGGGCCUCGCGCGAUUGGAGCGCCCAAUAUCGAAUUAGCUAGUUGGUGGGUUAAAGGCUCACCAAGGCGACAAUCCGUAGAGGGUCUGACAGGACAACCCGCCACACUGAAACUGACACACGUCCCAAACUCCUACGGGAGGCAGAAUUGGGGAAUUUGGGACAAUGGGGGAACCCCUGAUCCAGCCUUUCCGCGUAAGGGAAAAAGGCCUUCGGGUUGUAAAGCUCUUUCAGAAGGAACGAACUGGUGGGUCUUAAUCCGGCCUAUUAAUGACGGUACCUGCAAAAGAAUCACCGGCUAACUACGUG
rnacentral:rRNA from 1 species